rnacentral:rRNA from 1 species
GAUGAACGCUGGCGGCGUGCCUAACACAUGCAAGUCGAGCGAACAGACGAGGAUCUUGCUCCUCUGACGUUAGCGGCGCACGUGAGAGUAACACGUGUAUAACCUACCUAUAAGACUGGUAUAACUUCGGGAAACCGGAGCUAAUACCGGAUAAUAUAUUGAACCGCAUGGUUCAUUAGUGAAAGACGGCUUUGCGGUCUCUUCUAGAUGGAUCUGCGCCGCAUUAGCUAGUUGUUACGGUAAAGGGUUACGAAGGCGACGAUGCGUAUCCGACGUCAGAGGGUGGUCGGCCACCCUGGAGGUGAGACGCGGACCAGGCUCCUACGGGAGGGAGCAGUAGGGAAUGGUCCGCAGUGGUCGGGAACCUGACGGAGUGGCGGCGAGUGAGUGGUGGCGGUCUUCGGAUCGUGAUGCUGUGUUAUGGGGGAUGAACAGAUUUCUAAGUAACUGUGCAGGGAGUGACGGUACCGGGUCAGAAAGCACCGGCUAACUACGUG